rnacentral:rRNA from 1 species
GGAAUCAUUGGGUUUAAAGGGUCCGCAGGCGGUUUUUUAAGUCAGAGGUGAAAUCCUACAGCUCAACUGUAGAAUUGCCUUUGAUACUGAAAGACUUGAGUUAUUGUGAAGUGGUUAGAAUGUGUGGUGUAGCGGUGAAAUGCAUAGAUAUCACACAGAAUACCAAUUGACGAAGGCAGAUCACUAACAAUUAACUGACGCUCAGGGACGAAAGCGUGGGUAGCGAACAGGAUUAGAUACCCUGGUAGUCCACGCCGUAAACGAUGAGAACUAGACGUUGGGUAUUUAUACCUGGUGUCGCAGCUAACGCAUUAAGUUCUCCGCCGUGGGGAGUACGGCCGCAAGAUUAGAAACUCAAAGUAAUUGACGGGGGCCCGCACAAGCGGUGGAGCAUGUGGUUUAAUUCGAUGCAACGCGAAGAACCUUACCUACACUUGACAUCAUCAGAACUUGUUAGAGAUAACUCGGUGCCUUCGGGAACUGAUAGACAGGUGCUGCAUGGCU